AUGAAAAUAAGUAGUAGAAGUAUAUUCUUCUUCUUAUUCUAUUUCCUUUUUUUCUAUUAUGAUGAUAAUACAGAGUAACUAUCUCUUUCAAUUCGUUUUCUUGUUGUUGUUUUCCCUAGUUUGUGUUUUGUAAAAGAGAGAGAGAAAGAGAGAGAGAGAGAGAGAGAGGAACAGCAGAGGGGAAAAGAAAGAAAGAAGAAGAAAUAGGACAAUACAUACGACGACAACGACGACAACGAAAGAAAAAAAGAAAGACACUCGUCAUACGUGUGAUAGCUAUUACUCUACUGUAUAUAUUGUACAAGCACUGUGAUACAGUGA
rnacentral:ribozyme from 14 species